GACGAACGCUGGCGGCGUGCUUAACACAUGCAAGUCGAACGGUAAGGCUCCAGCUUGCUGGGGUACACGAGUGGCGAACGGGUGAGUAACACGUGGGUGACCUGCCCUGCACUUCGGGAUAAGCCUGGGAAACUGGGUCUAAUACCGGAUAGGACCAUGGUGUGGAUGCUGUGGUGGAAAGUUUUUUCGGUGUGGGAUGGGCCCGCGGCCUAUCAGCUUGUUGGUGGGGUAAUGGCCUACCAAGGCGUCGACGGGUAGCCGGCCUGAGAGGGUGGACGGCCACAUUGGGACUGAGACACGGCCCAGACUCCUACGGGAGGCAGCAGUGGGGAAUAUUGCACAAUGGGCGGAAGCCUGAUGCAGCGACGCCGCGUGGGGGAUGACGGCCUUCGGGUUGUAAACUCCUUUCACCAUCGACGAAGGGUUCUGACGGUAG
rnacentral:rRNA from 1 species